AUUUUGUAGUCUCACAGGCACUUGCUGUGGGGAUCUCUCCACUAUUCUCAGCACCAGCCAGAGCCUGACAGAGCUGGACCUCAGUUAUAAUUUUUCUCUGGGAGAUGUUGGAGUUCAGUUGCUGUGUGAGGGACUGAAACAUCCAAACUGCAAAUUACAGAUACUGGGGUUGGAGGGAUGCAGACUCUCAGGUGCGUGUUGUGGGUUUCUCUCCUCUGCUCUCAGCACCAGCCAGGCCCUGGCAGAGCUGAACCUUUGGGGGACAAAGCUGGGAGAUUCAGGAGUGCAGGUGUUGUGUGAGGGACUGAGACAUCCCAACUGCAAACUGCAGAAAAUACUGUUGGGGAGUUGCAGCCUCACAGCUGCUUGCUGUGGGGAUCUCUCCACUAUUCUCAGCACCAGCCAGAGCCUGACAGUGCUGGAACUGGCGGAUAACAAACUGGGGGAUUCAGGCGUGCAGCUGCUGUGUGAAGGACUGAAACACCCAGACUGCAAACUGCAGAAACUAGUACUGGGGUAUUGUGAUCUCACAGUUGCUUGUUGUGGGAUCUGUCCUCUGUUCUCAGCACCAGCCAGACCCUGACAGAGCUUGGCGUA